CGCACGGCGCACGGGUGCGUAACACGUGGGCAAUCUGCCCUCCGAUGGGGAAUACCCCCGCGAAAGCGGGACUAAUUCCGCAUAACAUUCCUUGGAUUAACUUUCGAGGAUUCAAAGCAGCAAUGCGUCGGAGGAGGAGCCCGCGCCCGAUUAGCUAGUUGGUGAGGUAACGGCUCACCAAGGCAAUGAUCGGUAGCUGGUCUGAGAGGAUGGCCAGCCACACUGGAACUGGGACACGGUCCAGACUCCUACGGGAGGCAGCAGUGGGGAAUCUUGCACAAUGGGCGAAAGCCUGAUGCAGCGACGCCGCGUGGGGGAUGAAGCUUUUCGGAGUGUAAACCCCUUUCGACUGGGACGAAUGCCUCGCAAGAGGAGUGGCGGUACCAGUAUAAGAAGCCCCGGCUAACUACGUGCCAGCAGCCGCGGUAAGACGUAGGGGGCCAGCGUUGUUCGGAAUUACUGGGUGUAAAGAGUUCGUAGGCGGUGUGGCAAGUCGGGAGUGAAAUCUCUGGGCUCAACCCAGAGACUGCUUCCGA
rnacentral:rRNA from 1 species